UAUUACCGCGGCUGCUGGCACGUAGUUGGCCGGUGCUUCUUCUGCAGGUACCGUCACUUUCGCUUCGUCCCUACUGAAAGGAGUUUACAAUCCGAAGACCGUCAUCCCCCACGCGGCGUCGCUGCAUCAGGCUUUCGCCCAUUGUGCAAUAUUCCCCACUGCUGCCUCCCGUAGGAGU
rnacentral:rRNA from 1 species